AAUGUUUGAUAUUAUAAUAAUGAGUCAAUUUUCAGUGACUCAAUUGGAAAUUAAGAGACAGAAUUUUCUAGAUCUUCUACAAUUUACGACAAGUCUCUACAGCACAAGUUUCAAGAUAUUAAGACUACAGAUACUUGGUAUAAUUUAUCUCUUUUUUUUAGACAGUGAAAUAUGUUAAUUUUAAUAUAAACAUCCCCUAGAUAAGUGAAUACCCUGCUAUUCUGAUCUGCAGUAAUUAUGCUAUGCAUGCAUUCAGUCUCAUCACAAUAUCUUCUCCAUAACAUAUCAUAGCUGCUAUAUUUUAUGAGGAAAUUUAUCUGCAUAGAGUACAUACAUGAAGGCCAUUUAUUUUGUUUCCUGCCUUAUCUGUUUUCCAGAAAACUGAAAGACAGAUGCUGGAACGCACAACUGUAUCUUUAUAUAGUCAGAGUAAGAUCUGGUCAUUGAUGUCAACAGCAGCAGGGCUAUGCCCUUCAACACUGAUAUUUUGGACAUUGAGAGGGAGAUGUUUAGGUCUCUGUGGAAGGACACAGAAACCUCAGGCACCCAGGGGAGCCCAAGACCUUCAGGACAGCUGCUUAACUUGGCAGUUUAAGUUGCAAGCCAACCAAAUCAGUAUUUAUUUAGUGGAAUUUCUGAGAAGCAGAAACUGCGCUGACCAGAGCCUUUGUAGGCAAACUGAAAAGAAAAAUCAGGUGGAAGAAGAAUAACAGGCUAGUGUUUUUCUAGUGAACUCAUAAACAAGUUGAGACUUACCCUUGAGAGCCAGCCAGGUGCUCCUGAGUUUCUGCAAGGUGUCAAGAGAGCUCUGCAUAUGCUGGAAGCAGUAGGGGGGAGGAAGACUUCACAGGGGACAGGAUUACAAGUCAGCAUUUAGUUUCCUUUUGUCUGUUCUUGUUGGAGAUGUUUUUCUUCAGUUUCAUCAAGCCCAAGACUGCUUUAUUUCUGCUUUUGCUGUAUUCUGGAUAUCCAAGCUCCCCGGUAGCCCUUGUGUCAGGAGGAGAAAUCUCUAUAUAAAUAUUCACCUACAACACAAAAACUGUCUCAGGUAAUAACUUGGCAGAAAAACUCUCUUAUGUAAGAGGAGUUGCCUCAACCUAAAAUGUCUCUACCACAUAGCUUUCAGGAAUGACGAGUGUUUAAAGUUAAUAACUCACUGUGUAAUCUUUAACUUGCAAGAAUGUGAUUGUUCAUAUAUGGAACGGGUUGCCUUAGGAGAAAAAAAAAGUGAAAUGGCUUAACCCCCUUUAUUAAUGCUAAAUAGGAAGGAAAAGCUGUAUGUAAAGCAUGGCUUCAUUCUGUAGGAAUACAUGCAUUACAUAUAUAUUACAUAUUUAAUUCUGUGUAUGUAUGUAGCAGCUAAAUACUCUCAUUAAAGACCUGAUCUUGAGCUUUCUGAAGUUCAUGGAGCUGCUAUUGACCUGAAUGGCUUUGGAAACUACUAGUCUCAAGUACAUAAAUUUAGAAGUCUCCAGUAAUGACCCUAAAAUAACGACUUAAUUAAGGCUUCAAACUGUAGUGAGACUUGGACACUCUGAAAAUCUGGCUUAUUUCUUGGGGCACAUUGACUCAAACCACUUCUUUUCUGGUUCUAACCAAAAGACUGCCUCACCUAUUUGAAAAAACAAUUCAAGGCCCUUGUUGUUCUUAGCUAUGACACUGACUUUCAUUCGUGACCAAGUAAAUACACUGAACCCUGUGUUUAUCCUU
rnacentral:lncRNA from 1 species